AAACAUUUACUCUCACGUAAAAAUACCAGGCAAAUGUCAGGUGAAUCAAACCCUCCCCAGCAUUCGGAUUUCUCCUGACCACUGUGGAAGACAGAACUCAGAAGAUGUGUCUGUAUAAGUUAUAUAGAAGAUAUAGAAGAUGGAAUUCCAGAAUAUGGAAAUGAAUUUUUGUCAGGAAGAAGCCCAAAGUGCUGCUGCCCUUGAGGAAGAAUUGCUUUGUCUGGCUGCUGCCAUCCUGCAGCAGAAGAGAAUGACAAAAGAGG